CCCUUAGAUGUUCUGGGCCGCACGCGCGCUACACUGAUCAGUGCAACAAGCAUCCGUCCUUGGCCGACAGGCCCGGGCAAUCUUUGAACGCUGGUCGUGAUGGGGAUAGACUUUUGCAAUUUUUGGUCUUCAACGAGGAAUUCCUAGUAAACGCAAGUCAUCAACUUGCAUUGAUUACGUCCCUGCCCUUUGUACACACCGCCCGUCGCACCUACCGAUUGAAUGGUCCGGUGAAGCCUCCGGAUUGGCGCGCACCUCGGUGCCGCCGAGAAGUUGGCUAAACCUUACCAUUUAGAGGAAGGUGAAGUCGUANCA
rnacentral:rRNA from 1 species